UACAGAGGGUGCGAGCGUUAAUCGGAAUUACUGGGCGUAAAGCGUGCGUAGACGGCUAUCUAAGUCGGGUGUGAAAGCCCCGGGCCCAACCUGGGAAUUGCAUUCGAGACUGAAUAGCUAGGGUACGGUAGAGGGAAGCGGAAUUUCCGGUGUAGCGGUGAAAUGCGUAGAUAUCGGAAGGAACAUCAGUGGCGAAAGCGGCUUCCUGGACCAGUACCGACGUUCAGGCACGAAAGCGUGGGGAGCAAACAGG
rnacentral:rRNA from 1 species